rnacentral:tRNA from 1 species
ACCUGGGUGGCUCAGUGGUUGAGCGCCUGCCUUUGGCUCAGGUCAUGAUCCUGGGGUCCUGGGAUCGAGUCCCGCAUCAGGUU